rnacentral:rRNA from 1 species
UACGUAGGGUGCGAGCGUUAAUCGGAAUUACUGGGCGUAAAGCGUGCGCAGGCGGUUCGUUAUGUCCGUUGUGAAAGCCCCGGGCUCAACCUGGGAAUGGCAAUGGAAACUGGCGGGCUAGAGUGUGGCAGAGGGGGGUGGAAUUCCGCGUGUAGCAGUGAAAUGCGUAGAGAUGCGGAGGAACACCGAUGGCGAAGGCAGUCCCCUGGGCUGACACUGACGCUCAGGCACGAAAGCGUGGGGAGCAAACAGG